UCUUCACUCCUAUGUAAAUAACUAUAAUAAAAUCCUAAUUUUAAUUUAAAAUCAUUAAAAAAACAAAAAAAUGUAAAGUAUGGAAAAAAUGAUCAUUUGGAAUGAUGAAAUACCUGACAAGUGACCAAAAUAGUUAUCAACCUAUCGUCGCACAGCUACCCUCGGAGUUAUUGCCCUUGGAGAACAUAUUUUUGAUCAAUAAAUUACCUUAGUACAAAGCGAAUGAAGUAUUACUAUUAAUCAUUCUUAUUAGGUAUUCUUAUCCCUACGGCAAUGACGCGCAAUUUCUAAGAGUGCACCAAUAUUCUUUCUAGGUAUU